AUGGCCAGAGGCCAGCAGCUGGAGCCCUGGGUGUGGGGACACAUAGCCCCGGGCCCAUCACGGAGGGACCGCCCUGCACUGGGGUCUGGGCAACCCCAAUCCUCCGGAGAAGCGCUGCACGUGUUCCCCUUGGUCUCGGAGUGUCAAGCCCUGAAAGAAGGCGACUCCGUAGUCCUGGCCUGCUUGGCAAGAGGAUACUCCCGGGAUGGAAGCCAGACCCCCACCAGUGCAGCACCGCCAGCGGCAAGCUGCAGAAGGCCUUCCGGUGGCCAGCAUCUUGGGAAACUAAGACCCCCCCUGUCGACUCUUGGGCCAACCCCAUCAGAGGACUCCACCACAGUGCCCAGCACUGCCAGGGUCUCAGUGCCUUCCACCAGCCACACCCAGGCACAAACCAGAGAGCCGGAAAGGACAGCGGACGCCAGUCUCAGAGAGUGUCGGAACCACACCAGCCCUCCCAGCCUCUACCUGCCACAGCCUCCCCUGCAGGGCCCAUGGUUCAAGGGACAGGCCACCUUCACCUGCCUGGCAGUGGGGGCUGGCCUUCAGGAGUCCCGCUUGUCCUGGGAGGUGGCCGGGGUGCCCCUGCACACGGGUGUGGACAGUGGGCCGCUGGAGGAGAAUGCCAAUGGUUCCCAGAGCCUGAGAAGCCUCCUGGACUUGCCCAUGGCCUCCUGGGCCUCGGGGGCCAACAUCACCUGCACGCUGAGCGGCCCGGGCGUGGCUUCCCAAGUGGUGUCCGCAGCUCCCAAGGAACACGCUGCCUCUGUGCCCAGCAGCCUCACGGUCCACGUCCUGACUGUGUCCAGAGCAGCCUCCUGGCUCCUGUGCAAGGUGUCCAGCUUCUCGCCCCCAGACGUCCUCCUCACCUGGCUAAGGGACCAGGUCCAGGUAAACUCUGCUUCCUUUGCCACUGCACCCCCCGCAGCCGAGCUGGGGAGCAGCACCUUCGAGACCUGGAGCGUCCUGCACAUCCGCACGGCCCAGGCCCCUCGCCCGGACACCUACACGUGUGUGGUCCGGCACGAGGCCUCCCGAAGGUUGCUCAACGCCAACUGGAGCCCAGACACGGCCAGUGAGUCACACAUGGGCACGGGGCCAGGGCUUGGGGGAGGAGCAGUCCCAGAGGAGCUGAAGGGCUGGGUCCUGGGGCUGCAGCCAAGGGUCUGUGCCACCCAGCCAGGAUGACCCUGCCCCAGCCUGGUGGGCACCUGGAGUGUGCACACAUUUUCCCUGCACUCAGGGCUUUGGAUGCCCUGACACCUGUCCCCCUGAAGCCUGUCCUCAUGUCCACAGGCCAUGUGCUGGACUAGGAGGGGUGGGAGGUAGGUGUCACCCCUGCCGGGCCCCCAAGGAACAGCCAUUUCCCACCAAGACCUGCCCCAUUGUUGAGCUCAGAGCAGGGGCCUCCCCUGGGGAGGCUGGUCAUCCCAGACACAACCCUCCCAGGGACAUCUGAGCCUCCCCAAGCCCCAGGACCCCCACUGGCUUGGGAGAAGAGUCAGCACCUCAGAAGCCAGGUACACCCAGAAGUGGGAGCUGGGCUGGGGUGCCCAGAGAAUCUGACCCGCACAUGCCCACAGCAGGCCCUGACUGCAGGCCACCUGCAGGGCAGAGGGGACAGAGGCCCACUAGGGUGGGGGCUCACACUGGAGGUCCAGGGCUCACUCUCCCCUCAGAGGCUGGCUAUCAGGCCCCCUCACCACCUCAUCAGGGGGCAGCACCCAGGCAAGGCCCUGGAGGGACAGAGGUGGACACCUCAGGCCAAGCAGGUAGCAGGACACCAUCCCCCCGCUGCUCGAGCAUGGAGAGUUGGCCCUAGGAGUGGGGUAAAGGCAGAUGCCAUGUGGAGGCCAUGCCAGCAAUGUGGUGGGGGGGCCGCACAGGAAGGCUGUGCCAGCCUCCACUGGCUCAGACAUCCCCCCGUCAGACCCGGCCAUGGGCAGCCCUGCACAGUGGAGGACAUGUCCACACAACAGUACUGACCCCACUGCCUCCUACAGCCAGGUCUGGAAGUGCUGGCAUCUUGUUGGGCAGCAGCCUGAAGGGUCCCCUAAAAAGGCGGCUCUCCUCAGCCCCCUAGUCCACCUGCCUGUGUCCCAGCAGGCCUCCCCGUGAUGUCCCAGCACCAGCCCCUGUCCCCACCGAGGCUGGGACUCCUGGUCCUCAGCCCAUCUCCACAGCAUUGCCCCCUGCCCUCUGGGCACCCUCUUCCCUGGCUCAGGCCCCUCAGGCACAUCUGUUCUCCAGUCAUCAGAGCAGCCUCCUGGCCCUGCUUACCUUCCCUCCCCUGAUCCCCUAAGCAGGUGUGUAAGGAGAUCGACCCCCCACCCGAGGCUCCUUGAGGGCCAGGUCCACACUGACCUCCUCCAAUGUCCACUCUCCUACACCCAGCAGAUGGGAGCCCUCCCCAGGCACAAACCAGGCCUCUCCAUCACAGGUGAUGUCACAGGUGAGGCUGGACCAGCCCCCUGGACAGACUCAGCCAAGGCUGGAGACUGGUCUGCUGUCAUGCACAGAGCCCCAGGUGUAGGCUGCAGGUGUGUGUGCACGUGCACCCCUGGUCACCUGAGCACACGCACAUGCCCAGCAUCAUCAUUGUUAUAAAGCAUCACACGGAAGGUCCCCCCACACCAGGCCCCUGUCCUCUUCCUCCUGACCUGGUUCUGCUCCUUGGCCUGUGUCAUAGACUCCAAGUCUAAAGUUCUCUCUUGGCCAGCAAGAGAGCGGGACACAGGAUUAAAGUGAGAGAUGGCUAAUGUCCGGGAAAAGACAAGACCCGAAUAAGGGCCCUUGCCCCGUUUGUAUCAGGAUCAGAAGGCUUACAAACACGGCGAUGGACGCGCACAAAGAGACAAGGAAUCUGUGAACAUUAACUUCUGGACGUGAGGGAAAGGGGGUCUUGAGGAUCCUCGGGGUUAGGGGUUUGGGUUAAUACAAAACAAAGUCCGGGCGCCGGGCAGUGGGGAGGAAGGUUGUUUACAGCGGACCUGAGGCAGCACCUCUGUUUAUCUCAGCCUCGGGGAUGAGGCAGGGAGGACACGUGACCUCAGGGUUGACAAGGCACCUUUGCUUUCGUUAACCAUCUCCGCUCUGGGCUGCUACGCCUGCAGUGCAGGGGUCCACAGUCCAGUUCACCAAUUUACCUAGCUUGGUCCUAGUCUCCCGUGAAAGCUGCUAUAGUACUAAAUUGGGGGUGCUUCUGCCCUGAAUGCCUAAUCUUGUUUAUUUCAUAUACCUUUGCAUCGGGGGCCUCUAUACCCCCCUAUUCUUGGUUGCCUUGUCUUGUUUACCCAAACUCGGGGGUGAGCAUCCUAUAGCUUCGUACUUCUCUGUGCCUUGUUAACCCGUUGGUGUAAGCCCGGGGGAUUCCUAAGCUUAUCCCCCACAGGCCCACACUCUCCACUUCGUGUGGGGACCCUGUAGUGUCCGGACUUCUCUGCCAACUGCCUCCAGUCCAUCCCCCACUAAUCACAGUGGCCUCCUUGAGGGUGCCUUCCUGCCGGCCGUGCCCGCACAGCCCAGCCUUGCUGCCCAGCACCGGGAUGCGUGCGCUUCCAGUGAGGAGGUCACAGAUAACGAAGGCAGCGUGGCAAGCGGGAACAGCAGGACGACGCCACACGCACUUUAUUAACCAGCUUUAUUUAAAGUCACUGAAGAGCUGAGGACUCAGAGAAGCCCAGCUGACCUGGUUCCUGGGCAAGACAACAUUGUCGGCCACGUUACCCCCACCCUGGACACCGACGGACACGGUUACGUUGCCCCCACCCUGGGCACAGGCGGACAGAGGUAUUGGCAUCCAGGGAGGAGAGAGGCCUGAGGGAAUCAGUCAAGGCUUUAACAUCCACAUGGGCUGACAUGAGGAAUAAGAAUAAGGAUGAGCCCCAACUGUAUCCCCUCCACCACUGACUGCCCCAGACAGGACGUGUGCUCAGAGCUGGGACAGAUCUCCAGUCCGGCAUGGUGCUUGGACUCUGAAGCCCAGUGGAGGGAGGGGCCUGACCCACCCCAAACAUUGCAGUUGAAGCCAACUGUCCUGACAUCCCACCGGCUCAAGUCCUGAUUAGACAGACCAGAUGUGCCCUCACCCCCGCCCCGAGGAAGGUGCUAUCAUAUGCUCCACUUCUCCAGUGCUGGCUGUUUGUUUACAAUGCCCAGCGUGCAAUCAAAAAUUAAAAGACAUGCAAAGAAGCAGAAAAGCUUCAGCCAUAAUCAAGAUAAGAAG